rnacentral:snRNA from 1 species
GUGCUUGCUUUGGCAGCACAUAUACUAAAAUUGGAAUGAUACUGAGAAGAUUAGCAUGGUCCCUGCCCAAGGAUGACAUGCAAAUUUGUGAAGCAUUCCAUAUUAAA